rnacentral:rRNA from 1 species
AUUAAUGAGAGUUUGAUCCUGGCUCAGGAUGAACGCUGGCGGCGUGCCUAACACAUGCAAGUCGAGCGAGAACCCGCGAAGCGGAGACUUCGGUCAAAGCAUCGCGGCGGAAAGCGGCGGACGG